CCACGUGUGGCUGAUGACAACGCUCCUGCUGAGGCUCUGUGAUUGUCCAGUUUCAAAGUAAACGCCCUGACGCACUGUGG
rnacentral:snoRNA from 10 species